GAAACCCAAAUUAAGUCCCUCAGGUAUGCAAAGUACCUUAAGGCACUGCCUAGAACUUUUCCAUCUUAGCACAUAUUAAUUUAAUUUUAAGUAAGCUAAUAGAUACUCAUCUAAAAAUAAAAUCCUCCAUAAGCUCACUAAACUGGCAUUUGAUUUCCUUAUUUGUUUAAGAGCUAUCCCAGUGUCCAUAAUGCAACUUUUUCUGGGCUUAUUUCAAUACCAGAAAGUCUGUAAUGCAGUUGAUAAAGUAUUCCAACCUCAGAAGAGGAAUCCAUAAAACCGACAUAGUGGUUCAUGGUUGCUUUACCUGAUAUCUGGACUUCAUGCCUAGUGCAAAGAAAGAGGUAUAUCUGAGAGCAGGUCACAAUUCUGUUCUGCUCCAGUGAGGACUUCACGGUAGAUGGUGUCACAAUGGUGGAGCACGUGUGCAAGAGUCAACAUGGUGAGGUGAGAAACCAUGGGAGGGGCCUGUCUUGCUCCUGCUAUAACAACCUAUUGUCUUAUGGUACCUGACUUAGGUUCUAAUAAGAAAUAUCUUCAUCCCUCCCAAAGGUGGUACCCCUAAGGACCACAACAGACCUGAACAUCAUUGCACUAGAGACUGAGCUCCCAGGUUAGGAAGCUUCACGGGACAUGCUUAAACCCCAUCCAGACUGCAGUGGCCCUCAACUUGCCUCCAGAGUGUGGUGUAUUGGAAAGAGUUUUCCCAAGAGCUCAUUAUCAUCGUCUCCGUUCUACUGAUGAAGAUGACGCUAAGGGAGCUGAAGUAUCUUGUGCCACGGUUACCUACCUAGCAGCUCUGCAAUACCUGGUCCCCAAACAGUGCACCCGGAAAGAGUUGUAUGCACGCCUCGCCAUCAGGAGGAAAGAACUCGGCAGCAGUGGCAUCAGGCUUGGUCAAUGGGUGCUAACUUCGGACAAGAACAGUUACGUCUUUAUGUCGACAUCAGGAGCACACACUGUGGUAAAAGAGGAGCAACCACACCAGGGAGGUGUACGGGAUGAGUGAGGAAGGAAUCUUACUGUUGGGAGUUGCUUACACAGAAUUGUGGUAUCGUUUACACAGAACUGGUGUCUUAUAACUGUAUAUUGGUUACAAGGUCCCUCAGGGAUGGUACCAGAGUGGGAAGUAACAUGUGGUAGGGAGUGACAGCACCAGACUUUUCUCAACACUAUUCAAUGGAUGGGAUGCAAAGCUCAGAUUCCUGCCUCCCACCGAGGCAGCCCACAUUCGUGCAGCCCUGCUUGGGGUACCUUUCCCGACUACGUUUUCUUACUAGCCUUCCCAUAGUUCCUGCUCCUGCCCCAGUGUUCUAUUUCUCUAUUCCUGGAGUACAAGGGCUGGCUAUUAGUCACACCUGUUGACAAUAACCUUGAGAGAGCAGAACUCUCUGACCUAAUUCUGGGUGGGACCAUUGUUAGAGGUAGAAACAAAAUAACUUUGAAGGAACUGGAGGUAAGUUCCAACUCUCUGACCGCUGGUCAACGUGGAAAUAGGCUCAUUUUGGGGCCUCCACACUACCUCCCUUCUUCUGUUUUUGAGGCUCUUGGAUGUGCCACACAAACAAGAGAAAAAUAAGCUCAGUGCUUUCACACCGAGAAAUGACAGAGACCAGCUAUGCGUAUCACCUGACCAGGAGCUACCUGCUGGUUAGGUGAAUGGAAGGAGAUGCUGGUAUUCCAGACAGAAGCAGCUUCCAGCAAAUGGAUUGGAAACAAGGAAGCAACUCUAAGCUAAAGCUUCAGCUCUGGAAAAUAAAAUUCAUUUUGGGUCUCAAAGCCCCAGCCUGUUCUGUUGUCUGGCCAUCAUCAGAGUUCAGCCCAGUGCAGCUGAGAGAGGCACAAAGCCUGAAGAAGUCCCUAACGCAUCAGAAGAACUGCGCUGCCCUCUUCUCCCCCUUCUUUUCAUCCACCUGGAGGAAAUAUUGUUAGCUGAAAUGGGCACCAGGAGAACCGAGAUGGCUAUUAGACAGGUCUCCCGGCUUCCCUGGGACAGUAACAUAAACUGUGACAAGUCUGUACAUCCAACUACCUUGCCCAACUAUUCCCACCAGACUGGCUUCCCGCUCCAAAAGAUUGCCAGCAGGCAGAUCAGGACAAAGACACACCCCUCUCUUCACUGCAUAUCUUUGAGACAUGGUCCUUCACUGAAUCUGGAGCUCAAGACCUUUGUGGUACCCAGGCAUUCAGCAAGUCCCAGGGUCACACAAGGCUACCAGCUGCUUCUGAGCAUGCUCAGAAGCGUCUCCAUGUGGCACACACCAUGGCCAAUAUGUCUGUCUCCCUCUCUGAAUAUACAAGGGCAAGUAGUCUGAUCCAACACUGCCACAAGGAUCAAGUUUGAAAUGUGGUCUGCUGCUUAGCUCUGAAAGUGUCAAUCAAUGUACCAUGAAAUUGGAGGAGAACGGCAAAUGGUUCCAGCUCUUCAUACUGAUCCCUGAGGAUUACAUUUCAACAUGACCUUUGGAGGAGCCAUAAACAUUCAAUGCACAACAGGGAGGAAACUGGACUCUCUCUCCUAUGGAAUCAAUGUUGUAAGAAUACAGCCAUGGCUAGGUAAGAUGUUUGAUGACCAUACCCAAUCAAGAGUCCAUGAAGCCCAGCUCCUAGAUAUUCCCACCAAAUUACCAGAGAUGGGGACUUCUCUCCAUCUACAACAGUCUAUCCAAUGGUUAUCAUCAAGUUCAAU